rnacentral:rRNA from 1 species
UACGGAGGGUGCAAGCGUUAAUCGGAAUUACUGGGCGUAAAGCGCACGCAGGCGGUUUUAUAAGUUAGGUGUGAAAUCCCCGGGCUUAACCUGGGAAUUGCAUUUAAAACUGGCCAUCUAGAGUACUGUAGGGAGGGGUAGAAUUCCAGGUGUAGCGGUGAAAUGCGUAGAGAUCUGGAGGAAUACCGGUGGCGAAGGCGGCCCCCUGGGCAGAGACUGACGCUCAGGUGCGAAAGCGUGGGGAGCAAACAGG